CGUUGGCUAAUUUUGAGUGGAUCAAUGCUUUCUGUGCUGGAGAUGGCCUAAAGCAGCUCGAGAAUGAAGCCAGGUCCCCUUGCUGAGUCAGCUGGGGGCUCCGCAGCAGUGCUGGCCGGGAUGUGUUCUGGCAUCUGGCAAGUGGAGGCCACGGAUGCUGCUACACAUCUUAUGGUGCACUGGACAGCUCCUCACAACAGAGAAUUAUCCAGCCCAAAAUGCCAACAGUGCUGAGUUUCAGAAAAUCUGCCUUGGAGUAAGCUUAGCCAUCUGGAGGCGCAAAAAUGAAACUCUCUUUCGGAAUUUCAAGCUUCCAUGUUUGAAGGCUGAUUUCCAGAGAUACCAUACUGGAGAAUUCAAUUGUAGAUGAUCUAAUUGACAAUCCCAGCUGAGUUCAGCCUUCCAGCCACCCCUGCCAAGGUGCCAGCCAUGUGAACAAAAUCUCUUGGACUCUCCAGAGCAGCCCAUCCACCACCUGAAUACCACCGGUGUAGUGUUGUAGUCAACAUCCCAUUGAGAAGUAGAAUUGCCUAUUUGAGGCCUGCCUACAUUCUUGCUCUACA